CAGUCGCCGCGGUAAUACGUAGGUCCCGAGCGUUGUCCGGAUUUAUUGGGCGUAAAGGGAGCGCAGGCGGUUUAGUAAGUCUGAAGUUAAAGGCAUUGGCUCAACCAAUGUAUGCUUUGGAGACUGUUAGACUUGAGUGCAGAAGGGGAGAGUGGAAUUCCAUGUGUAGCGGUGAAAUGCGUAGAUAUAUGGAGGAACACCGGUGGCGAAAGCGGCUCUCUGGUCUGUCACUGACGCUGAGGCUCGAAAGCGUGGGUAGCGAACAGGAUUAGAUACCCGCGUAGUCCCUGUCUCUUAUACA
rnacentral:rRNA from 1 species